UUUUAUUUUUCUUCUUAUUUCUUAGUGAACAAGACAUCUCCAUGAACAGAGAUAUAUUGGAUACGUUGAAUCAAAGAGGGGUAAGAGAAGCACCAUGUUAAUUGUUUCAAUUUUUUAAUGAACGGAAAAUGAAGUGAGAUUAGGUGGAGAAUAAUGCUACGCAGCCAUUGAUGUUCUUGUCUUUAUAUAUAUAGGCACAUUAUCAUGAUCAUAAAAGGAACCUCUCAGACCAGACGGUAGCAAAGAUGAGUGCUCUCUCUGUUUCCAGUGACAACCACAACAACUCCUUCCUCAGGAUGCCCACCAUCAAGUUUACCAAGCUCUUCAUCAAUGGACAUUUUGUUGAUUCCAUAUCAGGUUCNNNN
rnacentral:lncRNA from 1 species